UACCAUUAAUUUUUAUGAACCCCUAAUUUAUAAUGAAUGACUCCAUAUUUAUAUGGAAGACACCAUGCUAGGAUUAGUAACAAGAAUUUAUAAUUCUCCAAAAUGCAAAUAUAAACCAACAUGGAUAGACCAUUGGUAGUUACCGAACCUAAAUUUAAUGCAAUAACAUCCACAAGAAAACUCUGCAGCACUCACUCGUUAACCUAACACCAGCGCAUUACAGGAAAGAUUCAAAAAAAGAGAAGGAAUUCGGCAAAUGACGACCCCGCCUGUUUACCAAAAACAUCGCCUCUUGACUUAUAAUAAGAGGUCUAGCCUGCCCAGUGAAUUUUAAACGGCCGCGGUAUCCUAACCGCGCGAAGGUAGCAUAAUCACUUGUUCUUUAAAUGGGGACUCGUAUCAACGGCAUCACGAGGGUCUUACUGUCUCCUCUUUUUGAUCAGUGAAAUUGAUCUUCCCGUGAAGAAGCGGGAAUAUUUUUAUAAGACGAGAAGACCCCAUGGAGCUUUAAACCAAAUAACAACUUAACCACUUAUCCCAUAAUAAAUUUAACCCCUGUUAUAAGGUUUUUGGUUGGGGUGACCGCGGAGUAAAGCACAUCCUCCACGACGGAAAGAAUAAAAUCUUUAUUUAAGAACCACACUUCUAGAAAUUAGUAUACUAACGUUUACUGACCCGACAAUCGAUCAACGGACCAAGUUACCCUGGGGAUAACAGCGCAAUCUACUUCGAGAGCUCAUAUCGACAAGUAGGCUUACGACCUCGAUGUUGGAUCAGGGUAUCCCGGUGGUGCAGCCGCUACCGAAGGUUCGUUUGUUCAACGAUUAAAACCCUACGUGAUCUGA
rnacentral:rRNA from 1 species